GAAAAGAAACUAACAAGGAUUCCCCUAGUAACGGCGAGUGAAGCGGGACCAGCUCAAAUUUGAAAUCUCCGAUGCCUGCAUCGGCGAGUUGUAGUUGCGAGAAGCACUUUCUAGGUGGAUCGGUCGUGCCUAAGUUGCUUGGAACAGCACGUCGCAGAGGGUGACAACCCCGUCUGUGGYGCGGCCGGCCGCCGACGAUGUGCUUUCGAAGAGUCGGGUUGUUUGGGAAUGCAGCCCAAAAUUGGUGGUAAACUCCAUCUAAAGCUAAAUACUGGCGUGAGACCGAUAGCGAACAAGUACCGUGAGGGAAAGAUGAAAAGAACUUUGAAAAGAGAGUUAAAAAGUACGUGAAACCGUUAAAAGGGAAACGAAUGGACUCAGCAAUGCGCCGUUUGAGAUUCAGCCGGUGGGUGGAAUCGGCCAGGGGUUUGCGGAUCCGAACGGACCGCGGUCUCUGGCUCGUCUCUCCCCGCCGUCGCACUUCUCUUGGGCGCGCGUCAACGUCGGUUGGGACUGGGUCUGAAAGUAGCCGGGAAGGUAGGUCUGGACCUCCGGGUCCGGUCUAUUACAGCCCGGUCUCUCAUGGCUCGGGCCCGACCGAGGAGUCGCAGCGCAUGCCUCUUGUGGCUAGGGUCCCGUCCUUCCGGCCGGUUGUCGAAUGCGGUGGACUGCUUGCAGUGCUCCGCGACUGCUGCCGGUCGUUGGGGUGGUGAUCUCGUACCAUGCGCUUGGGAUGUUGGCGGUCAUAUGGGUCCAUCCGACCCGUC
rnacentral:rRNA from 1 species